rnacentral:misc_RNA from 1 species
AGAAUAAGAAAAGAAGAGAGUAUUUUUCUCAUAAAAUGAAUUGCUGUUGUACAAUGUACAUAUAUAUAGUGCAAAAGAAAUAUCUAAAAUGUUACAACUCGCCGAUACAGCUCAUCUAUACAAUUCUCUUCAAAGGUUACAUUCAUGAUAGCCUCCCAUAACUAUAGCUAAAAAUUUUGAUUCCCUUGGGUUCCACCUCUGCUGUGCACUUUCUAUUAAAAUUCUGUUUAGAACUUUUUUACUGUUACUUUAUCAUCCCCCUCCCCCCAAACUGGAGAUUGGAGAGUUGUUGAAGUCGAUCAAUCCCAGCUUGGACACAAGUGUUUGGAAGGACGAGGAGCUUAGGCACUUUGUGAAAAUGUCCGCCAACCAAUAAUGCGCAGGGAUGUGCUGGGGCUUAAUGAAGCCUUUCGUCAUUUGAUCUCGGACAAUAUGACAAUUGAUGUCAAGAAGCUUGGUACACUCGUGGAAUACUGGGUUGGAGGCAAUGUGAAUAGCAUCCUUGUUAUCGCAAUAAAGGGAAACAGGCAGAGUGUUAGCCGAAAAGCUUUAAGCAGAUAUGACAACCAUUGCAAUUCACAAACAGUAGAGGUCAUACUCCUGUAUUCAGCUUCGGCAAAAGACCUGCUCACUGUCGGUUGCUUCUUGGUUAAGGAUUUGCUAAGAAAAAUGCAAAAACCAGUGACAGACUUUCUUGUUUCAGUACAUGAUGCCCAAUUUAUGUCACAAUACGUGGUCAACGUAGGAGAAUAUUGGCAGGGAAGAAAAGUCCCUUACCUGGACAUCCUUUGAAGAGCUGAAGCACAUGAAGGGUGGCAUCCCAGCAUAGCUAAGCCUUAGAUUCCCGUCCAUAAUCAAUCUUUAGACCAUAGCACAGAAAAAAAUUUCCUGCCCCUUGUCAACCAAGUACCAGUAGUUUAAUACCAAUCUUGUUUAUUUAUUUGAGCAGAUACUGCCUUAGCUUCUCUCGAAAGAAAAGGGGUUUUAAAAAUACAUCAGUUGUAAGGGUUGUAUUCUGAAAUUAAACUGGCCACAAAAGGAGAAGACUGAAGGAUGCCCCCAAACGGCUCCUGGAUUUGAUGAGUUAAUAGUGAAAUUUAUGUACAAUGAUUCGUGUUUUUCAAUGCUUUUACAGGUAAGGAUAAAUUAACACAAAAUUUCAACUUGAAAUUCUGCUAAAGAUGAUAUGCGCACCAUGUUGGGGCAUCAGGGUUAAGAAAAACAUUGGAGCAUGAACAUAUGUUGGUGACAACGCAAAAGAAAAAUCUCUGAUGAUCAUCGCCAGGACAAUUUUUGCUUCAACGAUUGCUAAAUUUUGUCCAACGCAUAUUGUGGGGCCUAUUCCAAAUGGGAAAAAUGAAGCCAGGUGAUUUCUUGACUCAUUAAAUCUCAAGGGAUUGAACUCAUUUGCAUCUUCUCCCCAUAUAUCAGGAUCAUGGUGGAUAGCAGCCAGCGGCAAAUACAGUUGUGUGCCUGCAGGAACGUCAAGGGUUCCCAGCUUAAUCUUUUUAGAUGCUUCCCUCAAUAGCAUCACAGCUGGUGGGUAAAGUCGCAGAGUUUCAUUGAUUAUCAAGCUCAAAAUCUUAAGGUCAUUCAAACUCUCUGCAACUGGAAGUUCAUUCCCCCGUCCACAGAUUCGAAACACUUCCUCUCGUGCCUUGUGUUGCCAUUCUUGAUGUGAUGCUAAAAGAACAAGUGCCCAAGUCAAAAGAUUGGCAGUAGUUUCCUUUCCUGCAAAGUAGAAAGUCUUGCACUCAUCGAUAAUCUCCUCUUCGGUUAAUGUCUCUUCCUCCCCAUCUUUAUUAUUAUAUGAAGACAUUAGUAAACUAAGUAGAUUUCUUGAAUUUUCUCUUGCUCUGCUAUUAGUCUUGAUCAAUGUCCUAAUAGAUUCACGAGUUUCCUUAUCUAGUCUACACCUCUCUCUGUUCUUCUUGGUAGGCAAAAAUCUGCAAGCAUGAAUUCACAACAAAGAGAAAAAGGCCCCUAAAAUCCUCUGAAUAUUAAACUAAAUCUCAGUGAUUGAAUUGACAGACUUAAACUGCUUGAACCUUGGAAUAUGCUUUAGAGUUAGAUUGACGAAAUUGGAAAGCAAAUGGACAAAAAGAACGUGAUGACCUGAAGCCCGGGAUGUAGACGCUUCUUACAGACUGAGAGAAGAGGUGCAUGUGCUGUUCCUGUAAGGCAAAUAUUCGCUUCCCUUCAUCAAAACUGCUUCCAAAAGCCGUUCUGGAUAUGACAUCUGCUGAGAGGUCAUGAAGUUCUUUAUUCACUUCCAUCUCGAACUCAUCUCUCCCUCCCCGUAUUUCCUCCCACUUGUUUAGCAUAUUCCCAGUGCUAGCCACAAUUUCUGACACCCAACCCUGUCGAAAGCAUUAUCCUCCAUGGGCUACAUCAAGAAUUUUCCUCAAAUUAUAGAUGUUGAAAUCUGAGAGAUGGUAGCAACUAGUAAGAUUACCUUAACCCACUCCAUUUUAAAAGCCUGGUUUGCGAUCCUUCUAUGAAAGGCCCAUUUCUCGCCUUCCAGCCCAACGAGUCCUUCCCCAAAUAGCUGCUUAGCCUGAGGGUUUUGCUCAACCCUCUUGAAAGACCCACCACCAGUAUUCAUCAGAACCUCCUUAAUCACAUCCAGAUUAGAUAUAGCCAACCUGGGCCUCGCCCCGAACCAGUAAACGUACAUCUUUCCAUGCUUCCGCGACCAAUGGUAGUGAAAUGGAGCCACACGGUGAAGCACAUCGUGAUUCAAACCCAACGUUUUCUUGGACUGAGCUUCAACGUAUAGACGGCGGAUCUCCGCAGUGUUACCGGUGAUCGGACGGUAGUUAGGACCAAUUAUGCCUUGCUUUUUGAAGUGAUGUUGGAUCCUUAGAGGGACCCAUAUGGUGGAGUAUAUAAAUUUGAGGAAGCAGAUAAGCAGUGACAGGAUCAGGAUUUGAAGAAGCAGCAGCAGCAGAGGAGGCAUGGUGAAAAAGAUAGAUAGCAGAAAUAGUGUUCAAUUAAAAGUGAUAUAUAAUUGUGUAUGGUGGUGGAUUGAUUUGUUUAUUGGAUUUCUUGAGGAUCGGAUCAUAAUUUUCAAUGUAUAAAAAAACCUAAAAUGUUAAAAUAUUGGAAUCUGUCAAAGCAUUCGGCAGUUUGCUCUCCUUUCCAUGGGCCAGUAUAUGAGAUGUUAAUGAUUUGCUAAAUGUUGAUGACAAAGGGAUGGUAAUCCUCAUCCUAAUAAACUUUACUGUGGGUUCAGAGAAACUGUAGAUAAUUGUCAGCUUAUUGAUCUCUCGCUCGAUGGGUAUUCUUUUAGUUGGGAGAGAGGUAGAAAUACGAAUAGAAAGGCAAGGGAGGCUUGAUAGAACUUUGGUUACCCAAUGUUGGUUGAGC